ensembl:lncRNA
UUUUUUAGGAAAUAGUCCAAAUCUCUGGCUGCACAGAGGAGGGAGGACCAGAAUGAAUGAAUGAAUGUUCUCUCAGGAAACAGAUCUGAGAAAAGAGAAUCUUGAAGGAGCUGUGAUCCCAGCAUGUGAUUUUCUUCUCUGAAAUUCAGCGAGAUGUAUCACUCAUCAGGCUUCGAAGGAAUUAGAGAAGUUUUGGGACAGUUGUAAAUAGAGGUGCUAUGAACAGAUGCUUUCAUUUAUCCUGAGAGACUUACUUGGCUGCAAGGAGAUGGAACUGGGCUUUUGGAGGACAGAUUCCUUUUUUUUUUUUUCUGGUUUCUGGUGUCCGCUGUUUCAUCCCCUGUAUUGCUGUCCAACAAGAUGAUCCUGCUUUUAUCUGACAUUUCACAGGUUUCUGUGACUGAGAUCUAUAGUCACACUGUUGGCAUCCUGCUAUAAAGAUAUCUCUAAUUAUAUACUUCUUCUCAAUCUCAUGACUUCAGUGACCCACUGGAAUCUUUCAACACUUCUCUGUCCAUUCACUGGGGCACAUGCACCCUUGGACAUCCUGAGCACUGUAUGUAGAC